rnacentral:rRNA from 1 species
UGAGGAAUAUUGGUCAAUGGGCGCGAGCCUGAACCAGCCAAGUAGCGUGAGGGGUGACUGCCCUAUGGGUUGUAAACCUCUUUUGAUUGGGAACAAAGAGCACCACGUGUGGUGCGUUGCGUGUACCUUUCGAAUAAGCAUCGGCUAAUUCCGUGCCAGCAGCCGCGGUAAUACGGAAGAUGCGAGCGUUAUCCGGAUUUAUUGGGUUUAAAGGGAGCGUAGGCGGUCUGGUAAGUCGGCUGUGAAAACGCGGGGCUCAACUCCGCGCCUGCAGUUGAUACUGUCGGACUUGAGUGCACGCAGGGAUGCCGGAAUUCAUGGUGUAGCGGUGAAAUGCUUAGAUAUCAUGAAGAACUCCGAUCGCGAAGGCAGGUGUCCGGAGUGCUACUGACGCUGAGGCUCG